CUGUUUGUUAGUUAGUACCUUCUGUGCUCAAAAAUGCAGUUUCACAACAUGAGCAUGGUUUUAAUUGUGUUUACAGCACAGGGAAAGGAAGGACGGUACUGAAAAUCGUUGUCGCUCACUGAAAAAACAAGCAGCUCUGUGAAUAAAGAACUCCGCAGUGUGAAUCAGGCGCCUUCUUGAUUUGAAUGAGCUAUCUGACUGUGCCAAUGUCCCUCUGGAAAAAGACGCUCUGUGAAUUCUUUGGAAGUGGCUGGUUAUCGCAUGAAGAGGAGUGCAGAGCACAACAUGCUGUGCCCAGGAAUUCCCCGCCAUCACCUUCAGCAGCAGGGAAACAGAACACGAAAAUGAAGACGUGGACUUCAGGCAGCUGAAAGGCUUUUAACCACGAACAGACAAUAAAACAGAGAGGGCACUCAGCUGUCGAGAUCGCCCUUCACAACUGACCGCCUCAAAAUACUGGAUGAAAAAGAGAGGACGAAGCAGGGCCUGUUUCCAAGAUCAUUAACCUCCUGCUAUUAUCACGUUGUUUUUCGUUCCUUCGGUAUGGCUCACCUACAGUAUUGCGCCUCAAGGGCAUUUCACUUUUCUCCAGCUGUGUUUUCCGACCGGUGCUCCACGCCUGCAGAGAUGUUUGCGCAACUGAAUUACGGGCAAUUACAGCACGUGAAGGGACUGGUACAGAACCAGGACUGUGCACGCACUACUCAAGCACGGGCGCUACAAUGGAGUCCCUGGCGUCUCAGCUCUUCCCACAGUAAGACACCUGUGAGACUGAGUGCCAUCACCUGAAAGCCAGGCUCCCUGGGGAGGCGAGGAGACACAAAGGCAGGCUGUGCAAAGGGAGCACCGAGGAAGGAAACGAGGCCAGGGACCCCGGACAACGGUAACCGAUACUGAUGGACAGAGCUGGUGCUGUUGCUGGUGCUGUUUCGGGACAGUGCUGCUGUUCGCAAACAAGGGCACACUGUUUCAAUAAAGUCAGGCCCCGCUUAAAACGGGCUGCUUGGAUUAUCCCCGUGUUUUUAAUUUCUUCCAUUCUCUUUGCCCCGGACCAAAUACUUUCACCAAAACAGCUGUGGUAGGAGCUCAAAUGGUAUUAAGCUGGGGUAAACAGACGUGUGGGUACUGUAUAUGUAUACAGUAUAUUUGCAGAAGUUUCCAUUGGCAAUCGUGCAAUUUCUGGUAACCGAUGAGCGCAAACAGCACCAGUAGAGGAAACAGAAACCUUCAGUGCCACCACACUAAGAUUAUCUCCAAACAAGACCAAGGUUCCCUAGUCCUGAUCCUAGAGGCUCACAAUCCUCCUGCUCUCGAUUCCAGCUGAACCUAAUUACUUAAUUACUAAUGAGUUGCCUGAUUGGGACAUUUGCAGGGUUUUUUUUGUUUUGUUUUCAUAUCAGACGUUUGAGAUUUUAUUUUACGCGGGUGGCGCGAUAGUUAAAAAAAAGACAACUUCCAACAUGGCCAAGAGCCAAGAACAGCUUAACAUUUCCAAUAAAUCCUAUUAAGUGAAUCAAGGGUUUAAUUGUGUAGCUGUUGUUAAGCUGGACUGGAACACUAUCCAUGCUGGAUUCCUGUGGGCGGUGGUCAGGGAGUUCCCAGCACACCUGGAGAUGUGCCUUGGCAAUGGUACUCACUGGGGUUGAGCGACUCAAGCACACUCCUGCUAACAAUUCUCACGGAA